UGGACACUUCAACAGGAUCUUGGGAGAACUGACAGUGCGCAACAACACUGAGCCAGCUAAAAUGACGAUGCAAUUCCUCGCAAGCAACCCAGAGAAACGUCCCUUCUGGGUGUUGUAUGCUGAUUAUGACACCUGCGCCAUUAUUUAUCGCUGCAUGCAGCGUAUCGUGUAUCACACAAUGUACUCUUGGAUUCUGUGUCGCAACCAUGGAGUCUCUGAACUUCAACUCGC